rnacentral:rRNA from 1 species
CCAAAGGGGGAAUGCCCCCAGUACGGCGAGUGAAGCGGCAAAAGCUCAAUUUUGAAAUCCCCCCGGGGAGUUGUAAUUUGAAGACUAGGGGAUUUGGCCCAAACCUGCGCAAGUCCAUUGGAACAUGGCGCCCAAGAGGGUGAGAGCCCCGUCGCGCAGGCCGCAGCCUUGACAUCCCCCCGUCAAAGAGUCGAGUUGUUUGGGAAUGCAGCUCAAAGUGGGUGGUAAAUUCCAUCUAAAGCUAAAUAUUGGCGAGAGACCGAUAGCGAACAAGUACAGUGAUGGAAAGAUGAAAAGCACUUUGAAAAGAGAGUGAAACAGUACGUGAAAUUGUUGAAAGGGAAGGGCUUGCAAGCAGACACGAGUUCGCUCGGGCCAGCAUCAAUUUCGCGAGGUGGACAACACGCCAGGAAUGUGGCAGGCUCCGGCCUGUGUUAUAGCCUGCGCGCCAUACACCUCCGCGAGAUUGAGGCCUGCUCCAAAAGGAUGCUGGCGUAAUGGUUGCAAGUCGCCCGUCUGAAAACAACACCGCAAAAAAA